rnacentral:rRNA from 1 species
AGGAACGUUAAAGACGAUGACGUUGAUAGGCCGGGUGUGUAAGCGCAGCGAUGCGUUGAGCUAACCGGUACUAAUGAACCGUGAGGCUUAACCUUACAAACGCCGAAG